AUUGAACGCUGGCGGCAGGCCUAACACAUGCAAGUCGAACGGUAGCACAGAGAGCUUGCUCUCGGGUGACGAGUGGCGGACGGGUGAGUAACGUCUGGGAAACUGCCCGAUGGAGGGGGAUAACUACUGGAAACGGUAGCUAAUACCGCAUAACGUCGCAAGACCAAAGUGGGGGACCUUCGGGCCUCACACCAUCGGAUGUGCCCAGAUGGGAUUAGCUAGUAGGUGGGGUAAUGGCUCACCUAGGCGACGAUCCCUAGCUGGUCUGAGAGGAUGACCAGCCACACUGGAACUGAGACGCGGUCCAGACUCCUACGGGAGGCAGCAGUGGGGAAUAUUGCACAAUGGGCGCAAGCCUGAUGCAGCCAUGCCGCGUGUAUGAAGAAGGCCUUCGGGUUGUAAAGUACUUUCAGCGGGGAGGAAGGCGGUGGAGUUAAUAACCUCGCCGAUUGACGUUACCCGCAGAAGAAGCACCGGCUAACUCCGUGCCAGCCGCCGCCGUAA
rnacentral:rRNA from 1 species